AUCUAAGUAGCGUAGUAGUUAACGCACGGCCCCGGUUAGGCGCGAGACGCGGGUUCGAAUCCCGCCUUAGAUG
rfam:Nippostrongylus brasiliensis genome assembly, scaffold: NBR_contig0004594